UCGCCCCGGCGGACCUGGACCUGCGUGCCUUU
rnacentral:piRNA from 1 species